rnacentral:sRNA from 1 species
ACGCAGCCCGACUUGAGCGGAAAUCCUUUUUUGCUUACACUUAAAAACUAUUUAAUCUAAAAUCUUCUGCAAAAAAGAUUGGGAGCGGAAGGCGGAUUAAGC